rnacentral:rRNA from 1 species
ACCUGACUCCAUUCCGAACUCAGAAGUGAAACGCAGCCGCGCCGAUGGUAGUGUGGCAUUCGCCAUGUGAGAGUAGGUCACCGCCAGGC